UGCGUUUUGAGUCUACGCUUUGCUUCGUGCGGCAAAUGGUUUGUGUCAACUGGCAAAGAUAAUCUCUUAAAUGCAUGGAGAACGCCAUACGGAGCGAGUAUAUUUCAGGCUAAGGAAACUUCGAGUGUAUUAAGUUGUGAUAUUUCGACGGACGAUAAGUAUAUCGUAACAGGUUCCGGAGACAAAAAAGCGACAGUCUACGAAGUGAUAUACUAAGUGUUAGUUGGAAAAAACGAUGUAAUGGGACCAGACAAACUAACAUCUGUGAAUAUAAUGAACUUUUGUGUAACCGCUGGUUGAUGCAUUUUCCAUGCCGGAUUAAUUUGUUUCGCGCUCUCAGCAGUGUUCUUGUGACAGUCGAAAGUCGAAAUAAAUCUGUAUGUGGCGAUUCAGUUUCCAUUGUUUGACUAAUUUGUUUAUUAUUUCAUAGCUUGUGUUAAGAUAUUGCCUUAUUAUUUUGUCGCAUUCAUUUGUUUUGACUGUUUGAUAUUUUAGGCAAUAUCAAAACCUGAAAUGUUUUGUUGUUCACCAAUCUUUGGAACUUUUCUAGGUACGCUUUAGAUGACUUGUUAUUACCCUAACUGAAAAUGUAUUUCUAUCCUCAAUUUAAACUUGUAUAAUUUCGACAGUUCAGAUUUUCAAUAACGAAUUAUUUUGAACAGUGUUUACCUUAACUUUGAGUUUCAUGUUCGAAAAUAUUCGAAUCUUAUGCUAACUUGAUUUUUUGUAUGAAACCUUUAAACAAUUGUUAUAUUGAUAUGCACUCAUUGAGCGAGUACCCUAUUACAUAUUUCCAAUUUUCUUUUCGAAUAUUAUUGAAAUUUGAUUCAUUUUCGUGUUAUAAUAUCAACAACUAUUGAAUGUUACGAACCAUGACUCCAUAUUAAAAAUGAGGAUCCAAGGCUCACUAAAUGAUAAUUUGUUAAUAGUCCAACCAAGUUUUCAUUUUGUAAACAAAAAUCAGGAUAAAUUGGUCUAGCAGUAUAAACUGUAGCGAUAUUUAUUAGUAUUACAUUCAGUACACCAGAAUACAACUUUGGAAGCAGA
rnacentral:lncRNA from 1 species